CGCUCGCUCUAUGUCUUUCGAAUUUUACUGCAUGUAUAACAUUUGAGUUCUUGGAUUUGUGAUUCAAAACUCCAUCUUCAAAUCCCUCUUUUCUGUCAUUUCGUAUCUGUUUAUAUAUAUAUAUAUAUAUAUGUAUGUAUGUAUGUAUGUAUGGUUUGAUUUGUGUUCUCAUUCUCAGAUUGCAUCUUAUAAAGAGGGGUUCGGUUUGAUCUUGUUCUCUUCCUUGCAAUUUCAAUCCGGGUCAAGAAAAAUUGGCUAUGGCAAAAACCUUAUUGUUCUGAUUGACGGAGCUUGAUUUAGAUUUAAUUUAUUACUGUGGAUUUGGGUUUUUCAUUAUUUGAUUUAAUUUGCUGGCUCUGUCAUGCUAUUUGUUUAUUUUUUUUUAUGGUUCCAAUGUUUCAUAUAUGCUAGUAUUUAAUUAAUUACUCUUAUGGUUACAGUUGCCCGUGAAUUGGAAUUGGUUGAAACCAUCAUUGUGGGAUGGGAUUCUUCAUGCUAAUGUUUGAACUAUAUGUAUGAGUAUGAUUACUUAUGGUUGCAUUGUAGGAACCAUGCAAAUGGCAGUUGGAGUUACAUUUGAAGAGGGCAUUGCAAGCGGAAGAGGAAAUGAUGCGAGGAAGGACUAAACUGAGGUUUGGGACAGACGUUGCUUUAAGCAGAGGGAAAGCCAACAGGGG